GAUCAAGUGUCUUAAGGGCAAUUGGUGGAUGCCUUGGCAUGCACAGGCGAUGAAGGACGUGAUACGCUGCGAUAAGCUACGGGGAGGUGCGAAUACCCUUUGAUCCGUAGAUUUCCGAAUGGGGAAACCCACCUAAGGUGCUUGGAAAAUCAGAGCAGCCAGUGGUCGAAAGGCCGACUUGCUGCUGUGGUUUCCAAGGAUCUGUUAUAGGUAACUUAUCCUGAAUACAUAGGGAUAAAGUGGCGAACGCGGGGAACUGAAACAUCUAAGUACCCGUAGGAAAGGACAUCAACCGAGACUCCGGCAGUAGUGGCGAGCGAACCCGGACCAGGCCAGUGGCGAUGAUGAGACAAGCGGAACCUUCUGGAAAGUAGGGCCAUAGUGGGUGACAGCCCCGUACGCGUAAUGCAAAUCAUCGUCCUCGAGUAAGGCGGGACACGUGAAAUCCUGUCUGAAAUUGGGGGGACCACCCUCCAAGCCUAAGUACUCGUGCAUGACCGAUAGCGAACUAGUACCGUGAGGGAAAGGUGAAAAGCACCCCGACAAGGGGAGUGAAAGAGUACCUGAAACCGAUUGCCUACAAACAGUGGGAGUCCAAGGUUCGUCCUGGGUGACCACGUACCUUUUGUAUAAUGGGUCAGCGACUUAGUGUGACGAGCAAGCUUAAACCGCUAGGUGUAGGCGCAGCGAAAGCGAGUCUGAACAGGGCGUUCAGUUCGUCGCAUUAGACCCGAAACCGAGUGAUCUAGCCAUGAGCAGGUUGAAGGUAAGGUAACACUUACUGGAGGACCGAACCCAUAACUGUUGCAAUAGUUCGGGAUGACUUGUGGCUAGGGGUGAAAGGCCAAUCAAACUCGGAAAUAGCUGGUUCUCCGCGAAAUCUAUUUAGGUAGAGCGUCGACCGAAUACCCCAGGGGGUAGAGCACUGGAUGGGCUAGGGGUCCUCACCGGAUUACCAAACCUAACCAAACUCCGAAUACCUGGGAGUACUAGUCGGCAGACACACGGCGGGUGCUAACGUCCGUCGUGAAAAGGGAAACAACCCUGACCUACAGCUAAGGUCCCCAAGUUAUGGCUAAGUGGGAAAGGAUGUGAGGAUCCCAAAACAACCAGGAUGUUGGCUUAGAAGCAGCCAUCAUUUAAAGAAAGCGUAACAGCUCACUGGUCUAAAUAAGGGUCUUUGCGCCGAAAAUGUAACGGGGCUCAAGCCAUACACCGAAGCUUAGGGUUCGUGAGCAAUCACGAGCGGUAGCGGAGCGUUCUGUAAGCUGAUGAAGCCAUACCCGUGAGGGGUGGUGGAGGUAUCAGAAGUGCGAAUGCUGACAUGAGUAACGUAAGGGGAGUGAGAGACUCCCCCGCCGAAAGUCCAAGGGUUCCUGCUUAAAGCUAAUCUGAGCAGGGUUAGCCGGCCCCUAAGUCGAGGCAGAAAUGCGUAGACGAUGGGAACCACGUUAAUAUUCGUGGGCCUGGAGGAAGUGACGGAUCAUUGAGGUAGUCCAAUCUUAUCGGAUUGAACGGGCUGCUGCGUGGUUCCAGGAAAUAGCUCCUCCUUAUAGACCGUACCCGAAACCGACACUGGUGGACUGGUAGAGUAUACCAAGGCGCUUGAGAGAACUAUGCUGAAGGAACUCGGCAAAUUGCACGCGUAACUUCGGAAGAAGCGUGACCCUUUUCCACGCAAGUGGAGGAGGGUGGCACAGACCAGGGGGUAGCGACUGUUUAUCAAAAACACAGGGCUCUGCGAAGUCGCAAGACGACGUAUAGGGUCUGACGCCUGCCCGGUGCUGGAAGGUUAAGAGGAGGGGUGCAAGCUCUGAAUCGAAGCCCCAGUAAACGGCGGCCGUAACUAUAACGGUCCUAAGGUAGCGAAAUUCCUUGUCGGGUAAGUUCCGACCUGCACGAAUGGCGUAACGACUUCCCCGCUGUCUCCAGCAUAGACUCAGUGAAAUUGAAUUCCCCGUGAAGAUGCGGGGUUCCUGCGGUUAGACGGAAAGACCCCGUGCACCUUUACUAUAGCUUUACAUUGGCAUUCGUAGUGGCAUGUGUAGGAUAGGUGGUAGGCUUUGAAACCUGGGCGCCAGCUCAGGUGGAGCCACCCUUGAAAUACCACCCUUAUCACUAUGGAUGUCUAACCGCGGCCCGUCAUCCGGGUCCGGGACAAUGUAUGGUGGGUAGUUUGACUGGGGCGGUCGCCUCCUAAAGAGUAACGGAGGCGCGCGAUGGUGGGCUCAGAACGGUCGGAAAUCGUUCGCUGAGUGCAAUGGCAUAAGCCUGCCUGACUGCGAGACUGACAAGUCGAGCAGAGACGAAAGUCGGUCAUAGUGAUCCGGUGGUCCCGCGUGGAAGGGCCAUCGCUCAACGGAUAAAAGGUACGCCGGGGAUAACAGGCUGAUGACCCCCAAGAGUCCAUAUCGACGGGGUUGUUUGGCACCUCGAUGUCGACUCAUCGCAUCCUGGGGCUGGAGCAGGUCCCAAGGGUAUGGCUGUUCGCCAUUUAAAGCGGUACGUGAGUUGGGUUCAGAACGUCGUGAGACAGUUCGGUCCCUAUCUGCCGUGGGUGUAGGAAUAUUGAAAGGAUCUGUCCCUAGUACGAGAGGACCGGGAUGGACGGAUCUCUGGUGGACCUGUUGUGGCGCCAGCCGCAUAGCAGGGUAGCUAUAUCCGGACGGGAUAACCGCUGAAGGCAUCUAAGCGGGAAACCCACCUUAAAACGAGUAUUCCCUGAGAACCGUGGAAGACGACCACGUUGAUAGGCCGGGUGUGGAAGAGCGGCAACGCUUGAAGCUUACCGGUACUAAUAGUUCGAUCGGCUUGAUCGUUCUCAUU
rnacentral:rRNA from 1 species